CAUUUGCUUGCACAAAAGGAUGGUCUCCAGGAGCUUCUUCCAGGAUCAAAGCUGGGAAACACUGUAGCCCUGACCUUUGGCCAUUCUGUCCCUCCUGCCGAGACUGGCCUCCCGCGCCCUCAGAGGCAUCGCCUACAAGAUCAGUUUGCCAUCGCUUCAUCCACCCAGCACUUAGGGCAGACCCACCACUGCCAGGAGCCGCGGAAGCUGAGGAGACCCACAUCACAGCCCAGACUCGGAAGCUGGUGGGAAGGAAAAGGGGGCGACAGAGCCCUUGCAGACUGUGCCAGGAGAGAAGACAGGACUCACUCAAGAUAACACAGCGAGGAGCAGGUGGAUCCCAGGUCUGCCUCCU
rnacentral:lncRNA from 9 species